UGAAGCUUUGCGGGAGAGAGCAGCGUAGCUGCCGCCGAAGAUGAAAGUCUGUUGAACGUGUCAGGUUCGCAGAUGAACCUUUCAGGCAAAAGUACCGUGAAACUGAC
rnacentral:ncRNA from 2 species